AGAACGGGACGUCCCGUCCCGACCGCUCCCCCAUCCCCCUGGGUUUUUCUUUCGGGGGGACUCGUGUUUCCUGUCGAGCCGAGGCGGGCCAGCCGCGGGAGAUGGGAAAGUAGAAUGCCCUCAUCUGGAAAUUUACAGAAGCCAACAGAGGACAAAUUAGUAACCUGGGAAGACAGAAAGACUGCCUGCAGCAACAUGACUUAAAUGUUUUGGCAUUCCCUUGUUUUCAUUUAGUAUUUAUUUGGGUGCAGUUGUUACUACUUGCUGGAACACGAAAUGCUUUGUCAGCUCCUUA